rnacentral:lncRNA from 1 species
GCGCCAAACCGUUUACCAAAAUCGGCGGGAAACGCAAUUUCGUCCUGUCAGUGACAGUUUUAUUCAGAAAGAGUUGUUGUGCUGUGUAAAGGAUAAAAGAAAAUUAGGCAAGAUGAAUCGGCGUAGUUUACGCCAAAGGCCGAGAAUUAGUUACUAUGAACCCGAAGAGCCGAGUUUGGACGAAUACAUUUAUUGCGAUGGGUGCACCGACUUUGUGUACGAAUACUGUGCGAUUCACGGGCCUUUACUGGUCAUUCCUGAUGAUAAGGCGCUGGUCUGGGUAUAUUCAGUACUUUGACUCUACCACGCGGCGUUCGCUUCGGUCCGUACUGCGGAGUUCGCACGCAAAAUGUCGACUCCAUGUAUUGUUGGCAGAACUAUCAAAAUAAUCCCUCGCUUCACGGAGCUACUAGUGUUCUACGGCAGCGAGUUCGCGAACACGCUGCAUAUCAACCUGAGCAAGUAUAACGCGCCUCCGGGAUAUGCUCAGAAA